GACGAACGCUGGCGGCGUGCUUAACACAUGCAAGUCGAACGGAAAGGCCCUGCUUUUGUGGGGUGCUCGAGUGGCGAACGGGUGUGUAACACGUGUGUAACCUGCCCUUGACUUUGGGAUAACUCCAGGAAACUGGGGCUCAUACCGGGUAGGAGCACUUGCUGCAUGGUGGGGGUUGGAAAGUUUCGGCGGUUGGGGAUGGACUCGCGGCUUAUCAGCUUGUUGGUGGGGUAGUGGCUUACCAAGGCUUUGACGGGUAGCCGGACUGAGAGGGUGACAGGCCACAUUGGGACUGAGAUACGACCCAGACGCCGACGGGAGGCAGCAGUGGGGAAUAGUGCACAAUGGGCGGAAGCCUGAUGCAGCGACGCCGCGUGCGGGAUGACGGCCUUCGGGUUGUAAACCGCUUUCGCCUGUGACGAAGCGUGAGUGACGGUAAUGGGUAAAGAAGCACCGGCUAACUACGUG
rnacentral:rRNA from 1 species